CUUCAGGGAGCCCAGCCACAGCGGGUCACCGGCGCGGUCCCGCCCGUAGGUGGCGAGCAGGGCCUGGGCCUC
rnacentral:antisense_RNA from 1 species